AGUUCGAUCCUGGCUCAGAUUGAACGCUGGCGGGAUGCUUUACACAUGCAAGUCGAACGGCAGCACGGACUUCGGUCUGGUGGCGAGUGGCGUGGUGGAAAUAAUGUAUCGGAACGUGCCCUAGUAGCGGGGGAUAACUACGCCAAGCGUAGCUAAUACCACCAUCGCCCUUCGGGGAAAGCGAGACCUUCGGGCCUCGCACUGUGGAAGCGGCCGAUAUCGGGUCAGCUGGUGGUGGAGAUAACGGCUCACCAAGGCGACGAUCCGUAGCUGGUUUGAAGACCAGCCACACUGGGACUGAACACGGCGCUGAACUCCUACGGAGGCAGCAGUGGGGAAUUUUUGGACAAUGAAGCAGUCCAGCCAUCCCGCGUGUGCGAUGAAGGCCUUCGGGUUGUAAAGCACUUUUGGCAGGAAAGAAACGUACGGAUAAAUACACACAGUGCAACAGCCAGUACCUGCAGAAUAAGCACCGGCUAUUUAGUGCCCGGCAGCGCGGUGUACGUAGGGUGCAAGCGUUAAUCGGAAAUUACUGAGGCGCUAAAGCGUGCGCAGACGGUUCGGAAAGAAAGAUGUGAAAUCCCAGGCUUAACUUUGGAACUGCAUUUUUAACUACCGAGCUAGAGUGUGUCAGGGAGGUGGAAUUCCGCCGAUGUAAAGCAGUGAAAGGCGUAGAUAUGCGGAGGAACACCGAUGGCGAAACUUUCAGCCUCCUCAGGGUCGCACUGACGCUCGCGUGCCGCGAAAAGCAGUGAGGAGCAACAGGAUUAGAUACCUGGUAGUCCACGCCUAAACGAUGUCAACUAGCUGUUGGGGCCUUCGGGCCUUGGUAGCCCGCAGCUACUUAGGAUUGACCGCCUGGGAAAUACAGUCGCAAGAUUAAAACUCAAAGAAAUUGACGGGGAUAUUACCUAAGCAGUGGAUAAGUGUGGAUUAAUUCGAUGCAACGCGAAAAACCUUACCUACCUUGACAUGUCUGGAUGAAGAUUUGGGAGUGCUCGCAAGAGAACAGAACAGGUGCUGCAUGGCUGUCGUCAGCUCGUGUCGUGAGAUGUUGGGUUAAGUCCCGCAACGAGCGCAACCCUUGUCGUGGUUUGCUGCGAAAGACACUCAAUGAGACUGCCGGUGACAAACCGGAGGAAGGUGGGGAUGACGUCAAGUCCUCAUGGCCCUUAUGGGUAGGGCUUCACACGUCAUACAAUGGUCAGGGACAGAGGGUCGCCAACCCGCGAGGGGAGCCAAUCCCAGAAACCCGAUCAGUCCGGAUCGCAGUCUGCAACUCGACUGCGUGAAGUCGGAAUCGCUAGUAAUCGCGGAUCCAGCAUGUCGCGGUGAAUACGUUCCCCGGGUCUUGUACACCGCCCGUCACACCAUGGGAGUGGGUUUUACAGAAGUAGUUAGCCUAACCGUAAGGAGGGCGAUUACCACGGUAGGAUUCAUGACUGGGGUGAAGUCGUAACAAGGUAA
rnacentral:rRNA from 1 species